UACGUAGGGCGCAAGCGUUAUCCGGAAUUAUUGGGCGUAAAGAGCUCGUAGGCGGUUUGUCGCGUCUGCCGUGAAAGUCCGGGGCUCAACUCCGGAUCUGCGGUGGGUACGGGCAGACUAGAGUGAUGUAGGGGAGACUGGAAUUCCUGGUGUAGCGGUGAAAUGCGCAGAUAUCAGGAGGAACACCGAUGGCGAAGGCAGGUCUCUGGGCAUUAACUGAUGCUGAGGAGACGAAAGCAUGGGGAGCGAAACAGG
rnacentral:rRNA from 1 species